rnacentral:rRNA from 1 species
AACGAACGCUGGCGGCAGGCCUAACACAUGCAAGUCGAGCGGACCCUUCGGGGUUAGCGGCGGACGGGUGAGUAACGCGUGGGAAUAUGCCCUUCUCUACGGAAUAGUCCUGGGAAACUGGGGGUAAUACCGUAUACGCCCUUUGGGGGAAAGAUUUAUCGGGGAAGGAUUAGCCCGCGUUGGAUUAGGUAGUUGGUGGGGUAAUGGCCUACCAAGCCGACGAUCCAUAGCUGGUUUGAGAGGAUGAUCAGCCACACUGGGACUGAGGCACGGCCCAGACUCCUACGGGAGGCAGCAGUGGGGAAUCUUAGACAAUGGGGGCAACCCUGAUCUAGCCAUGCCGCGUGAGUGAUGAAGGCCUUAGGGUUGUAAAGCUCUUUCAGCUGGGAAGAUAAUGACGGUACCAGCAGAAGAAGCCCCGGCUAACUCCGUG